AUUGAACGCUGGCGGCAUGCCUUACACAUGCAAGUCGAACGGCAGCGGACCUUCGGGUGCCGGCGAGUGGCGAACGGGUGAGUAAUGCAUCGGAACGUGCCAUUGAGUGGGGGAUAACGUAGCGAAAGUUGCGCUAAUACCGCAUAUUCUGUGAGCAGGAAAGCAGGGGGACCGCAAGGCCUUGCGCUCUUUGAGCGGCCGAUGUCAGAUUAGCUAGUUGGUGAGGUAACGGCUUACCAAGGCGACGAUCUGUAGCGGGUCUGAGAGGAUGAUCCGCCACACUGGAACUGAGACACGGUCCAGACUCCUACGGGAGGCAGCAGUGGGGAAUUUUGGACAAUGGGGGCAACCCUGAUCCAGCCAUGCCGCGUGAGUGAAGAAGGCC
rnacentral:rRNA from 1 species